UUUCCUGCAAAUCAGCUGCGCGGUUUCUGCUCAAACGAAAAAAAAAAGAUAAAAAAAUAUUUUUAAAACCCAUAUUUUGAAUUUGUAGGUUGAUUUACAGAACGAUGAAAAGCUUUACAGUUUUAGUUAUCAUUGUAGCGGUUUUAGAGUCUGUAACAUUAGCCAGAGAAACAACACCCAUGUAUGUUGUGAGGCGCUUUUUACCCUGGAGACCUUAUGAAGAAGCAAACCUGAUUGACCCCGAAGACCUUUCAAUACAAGAACGAGGAAACAACUUGCGUGGUAAGAGGGUAUCCAGUUUAAGAGGCAAAAGAAUCAGCAACUUGAGGGGGAAAAGGAUGAGCAAUUUACGUGGCAAGCGAAUGGAGGAAAGGAAUACUCUAUUCGAGACGAUUCAAAACACGAUUGAAAUAUAAAUUCAUGGAGAAUUACACCCUUCCGUAUGUGAAAACUUUCAACUCGGAAUGAACAGGAAAUUUAUUUCAAUUUUUGUUCAGCUGAAAAAUUUGAUCAUCCUCAGUCAGAAAAACAUGAGAAGCUUGUUUAAUUAUUUUUUCAAUUACACUCAUGAAUUGAAUAUUACUUUAA